rnacentral:lncRNA from 1 species
AUAUCCAGAAGGAAGAGGAGCCGCGUUCCGUGGCUCACACCUGUAACCCCACCAGUUUGGGAGGCCGAGGCGGGCGGAUCACCUGAGGCUGAGGCCGGGGGUUUGAGACCAGCCUGACCAAUAUGGAGAAACCCCGUCUCUACUAAAAAUACAAAAUUAGCCGGGAGUGGUGGCGCAUGCCUGUAAUUCCAGCUACUCGGGAGGCUGAGGCAGGAGAGUCGCUUGAACCCGGGAGGCGGAGGUUGCGGUGAGCCGAGAUCGCGCCAUUGCACUCUAGCCUGGGCAACAAGAGGGAAAACUCCGUCUAAAAAGAAUAAGAGGGUUACAAGUAGCCUGAAUUUUCCUCUCUUCAAAUAGGGACUUCUCAAAGAAGGUGAAUCUAUAAUAGUGGUGUAGAUUCAGAUAUAAGGACACGUAUUUGGCGUAAAGGAGAGGCAAAGUUAGAGGAACCAGAAAGAAUGCUACACAAAAGAUGGCCGGCUUCUCGCGUGAAGGAAGAUUCGGAUACGGGGGCCUGAUGGAUUUAGUUGUAGGCGGUUUGCCUGCAGCGAGUAAAUUAUUCAAACGUUCGGACUUCACAAGACUAAACUUACUGGGGAUAAAAAUUGAGAUUUGGCCGGGCGCGAUGGCUCACGCCUGUAAUCCCUACACUUUGGGAGGCCGAGGCGGGUGGAUGAUCUGAGAUCAGGAGUUCGAGACCAGCCUGGCCGAAAUGGCGAAACCCCGUCUCUAUUAAAAAUACAAAAAUUAGCCGGGAGUGGUAGCGUCCGCCUGUAAUCCCAGCUACUCAGGAGGCUGAAGCAGGAGAAUCGGUGGAACCUGAGAGGCAGAGGCUGUAGUGAGCCGAGAUCGCGCCACUGCACUCCAGCCUGGGCGACAGAGCAAGACUCCGUCUAAAAAAAAAAAGAAAAAAAAAAAUUGAGAUUUGGUCCCAUGCAGUAAGAGGGAAUGGAGAACAGGAGCCACCCAACUUUGGACAUUAAAGUUGGAGCAGGCAAAGAUGAGGCCAGCUGUGUCGCGAAGCCUGGGACAUGGGCAGCUCUUGAGUACACCGGGUUCGAGGCCAGGGGAAACCCUCAAGGUAGAGAUGGGGUUAUAAAGCAAACCAAUAAAAACCGGUGUAUGAGUCAAGGAGAGGCCUUAGUUUAGCCAUCUGCCCAUACACAACACCUAGUGGAAAUCCGAGUUCCAGUCCCUACUCCGCCACUGAUUUGCUGUGUGACCAGGACUCUCUGGGUCCCUUUGUCACGCCGCCCUCCUUGCUUUUCCCACUGAGGCACGCUCCACCUCUGGGAUUUUGCACUCACUGUUAUCCAAGUCUAGAAUCGAAUGCAGUGGCACCCCCACUCCCAUUCCCUUCCCCAUCGGUAUCUGCAUGGCACCUUCAGGUGUCUGCUCUGAUGCCAUCCACUCAACAUCCUAUUGAGAAUUGCAAUGCCCAGCCCCAACUCCCUAUGCUGCGUUCUUGUUUUGUGUUUCUUCCUUGUGCUGUCACCAGAGGUGACACAAAUUUGGAAAUAAUGGAGCUUAAGCUUUACCGACCCUCGAUUUGGUUCAGGACCUUCCCUGAACCAAGGAAGAGUCACAGUCUCUUCCUUGGUUCAGGGAGGGUCCCCAACAAUGUCCUCAUGGUCCUUUGCUUUUGUAAAAUUUGUGAAAUAUUUUUAUUGCUGAAACCACCUUUGCAAAAAUUGUAACAGUGAGAAAAUAAUGACAGUGAAAGAGAUCUGAUCUAACCAACCCUCAUCUUCCAUUUAAUCUUCAGACUGCCCUUAAUCAUUCCUGGCUCGAACCGAGCUAACUUUGGGAGACAUUUAGUUUCUAGUUUAAAUAAUAACCCUUCUCCGAGGCCUGGCACAGUGGUUCACACCUGUAAUCCCAGCACUUUGGGAGGCCAAGGCAGAUGGAUCACCUGAGGUCAGGAGUUCGAGACCAG